GGAGGAGUCGCCUAGUUGGCCCAUGGCGCGGCACUGGAAAUGCCGUGAGCGCAAGCUCACGCGGGUUCGAAUCCCGCCUCCUCCG
rnacentral:tRNA from 1 species